GGGGAUGUAACCCAACGGUAGAGGUAGUGGACUUAAAAUCCAUCAAGUAUGGGUUCGAUUCCCAUCCCCACCA
rnacentral:tRNA from 1 species